AAGGAUGCUUUCCUGCAAUAGAACUUUAUUUUUAAGCGGCAUUUGGGGACAAAAUAACUACAAGACUCAAAAUGGUUGAAAAUGGAUGAAGAAAAUGGUACAGAAAGAGGGCCCCUUCCCCAGAAGGACCCCCAGGGCUCUUCCUCACCCACCUCCUCCUCAAGUUUCCUCUUCCUCCUCCUCAGGGAGUAAACCUUCCUUACAUUUGUACAUGAAAAUGGCAUUUCUUUACUGUCGUUUACUACAUAUCUAAAAUUGUUUCCAAUAUUCCAUCGAAAUGUUUUUUCAACUGUGCAAAUUGCUGUCUUGGGUCACGAUGGAGGACGUUAUGAUUCGCCAUUAAAAACAAUGAAAAUAAUUUUGGUGUAAUGGCUUUUAACCUAACAGCAUGGUUUUCCAGAAGAAUUUAAGGCAUUAAGUGAAAGGUAGGAGGGUAAUGAAAACGCCCCCUGCCAGCAUCCUCAGAGCUUCUCGUUAUUCUCCUCAAAGACAAACCACAUCACGUUCCUUGUGUCACCUCCACAGACAGGCCAUCCACAGAUGGGAAAAUACACAUGGAACCUCUCCAUCCCUUCCUGACACAGGUGAUAGCCUGCUACUCACUCGUUCCUCCACCUGGACUCAUUGUCUUCAAAAAACAUCUCAGAAAUCAUUCCAUGCCAGUACAUAAAGAGCGAGCUGACUUUCUAAAUAGCUCCAUAGUGUUCCAUUUUGCGGCUGUAUUGCAAUCUAUACAAUCGACAGACCCUGCACGGACACUUAUGCUGUUUCUACUCUUUUGUUAGUAAACUCCACCGCUUGCCUUUGGGUUAUUUCACAGGUGUGAGAAUAUGCAGGUAAAUAGGAGGAGGGGCUGAGUCCAAGGCUUUUCACCCAGCGAGUGUUGAUACAUCUCACCGAGUUGUGCUUCAAGGAGGGUGGGUGGUCCCCCUCACCGCCAGGUAGGUGUCAUCCAUCAGUAUGUUGCCACACAUCUGAUCAUUGCCAAUUAGGUGGAAAGAGAGGGAAAAUCCACAAUUAAACUGUGAAGGAAAUAAGGUGAAAUAAUAAUUUUUAAAGGUAGUGGUGAGUCUUACGGUUUUAGAUCAGAUGAUCAGGCCACUAUUGGUUUCCUUUUGCUGCUGUAAAAGUAACCACAAACUUAGGAGCUUAAAAGAAUGAGGAUUUAUCAUCUUACACUUCCAUAGUUCAGAAGUCUGAAAUGGAUCUCAGUGGACAAAGUCAAGAUGCCAGCAGGGCUGCCAGAGAGAGUCCAGAAAGCUCUCUUCUUUGCCUUUGCCAGGCUCCACAGCAUCCUGUGCUCCUCGGCCCCCAGCCCCUUCCCCCAUCUUCAAAGGGAGCAACAGCUGGUGGAGUCUUUCUCUCUUCACAGGUGCUCUUCUGCCUCCUCCCCCAAUUACAAAGACCCUCAUGAUUACACUGGGCCCACCUGGACGAUGCAGGCUACAUAUGCUCGCUCUCUUAAGGUCAGCUGAUUUUUAGCAGCCUUCAUUCCAUCUGUCACCUCACCUCCCCUCUGUGGUGUAACCUGACAUCUUCAUCUGCUCUGGGCAGUAGGUCAUGGACCUCUUUUGAGGGCCAUUAUUCUGCCAACUGCAGCCUCCCAGAGGAGGUGACACUUGGGCUGAGACCAGACGUGCCACGCACAGAGCCAGGGAAGGAGAGUUCUGACAUCAGGAGCAAUGAGUGGAUGGCUGAGGAGCCCAGCUAGAGAUGAAGGACAGACUCCCUCUAGAUUCGUCUCUGAUGUGAUGGUGGAGAACUAUGACUAUGAAGAUUCCAAUUGCAGA
rnacentral:lncRNA from 1 species